rnacentral:rRNA from 1 species
AUAGCGUAUAUUAAAGUUGUUGCAGUUAAAAAGCUCGUAGUUGAACUUCAGACCUGGCUGGAUGGUCUGCCUAACGGUAUGUACUGUCUGGCUGGGCCUUACCUCUUGGUGAGCCGGCAUGCCCUUCACUGGGUGUGUCGGGGAACCAGGACUUUUACCUUGAGAAAAUUAGAGUGUUCAAAGCAGGCUUAUGCUCGAAUACAUUAGCAUGGAAUAAUAGAAUAGGACGUUGUGGUUCUAUUUUGUUGGUUUCUAGAAUCGCCGUAAUGAUUAAUAGGGAUAGUUGGGGGCAUUGGUAUUCAGCCGCUAGAGGUGAAAUUCUUGGAUUGGCUGAAGACCGACUAUUG